UACGGAGGGUGCAAGCGUUAAUCGGAAUCACUGGGCGUAAAGCGCGCGUAGGUGGCUAUUUAAGUCAGAUGUGAAAGCCCUGGGCUCAACCUGGGAAUGGCAUUUGAUACUGGAUAGCUAGAGUAUGGUAGAGGUGAGUGGAAUUCCAUGUGUAGCGGUGAAAUGCGUAGAUAUAUGGAGGAACACCAGUGGCGAAGGCGGCUCUCUGGUCUGUAACUGACGCUGAGGCGCGAAAGCGUGGGGAGCAAACAGG
rnacentral:rRNA from 1 species